rnacentral:rRNA from 1 species
CGCCUCCCUCCGCCGCCACUCAGACUCCGUACGGGACGGCGAGCAGGUGGGAAGUCGUUGGACAAGUACGGGGGAAACCCGUACGACUCCACGCCAUGCCGCGUGAGUGAUGAAGGCCUAGGUUGUAAACUCUUCGGCGGGACGAUAAUGACGGUACCCGCAGAAGAAGCUCCGGCUAACUUCGUGCCAGCAGCCGCGAAUAC